GACAGAGGGUGCAAACGUUGCUCGGAAUCACUGGGCGUAAAGCGCACGUAGGCGGAUUGUUAAGUCAGGGGUGAAAUCCCAGAGCUCAACUCUGGAACUGCCUUUGAUACUGGCGAUCUUGAGUCCGGAAGAGGUGAGUGGAACUCCGAGUGUAGAGGUGAGAUUCGUAGAUAUUCGGAAGAACACCAGUGGCGAAGGCGGCUCACUGGUCCGGUACUGACGCUGAGGUGCGAAAGCGUGGGGAGCAAACAGG
rnacentral:rRNA from 1 species